CCUANGGGAGGCAGCAGCUAAGAAUCUUCCGCAAUGGGCGCAAGCCUGACGGAGCGACGCCGCGUGGACGAUGAAGGCCGUAAGGUUGUAAAGUCCUUUUCUCUGUGAGGAAUAAGGGUGGGAGUGGAAAGCCCGCCUGAUGACGGUAAUGGAGGAAUAAGCACCGGCUAACUACGUGCCAGCAGCCGCGGUAAUACGUAGGGUGCGAGCGUUGUUCGGAGUUAUUGGGCGUAAAGGGCGUGUAGGCGGCUUGAGAAGUCUGAUUUGAAAUGCACUGGCUCAACUGGUGCGCUGGGUCAGAAACUAGCAGGCUAGAGUUCAUAGGGAGGAACUGGAAUUCCAGGUGUAGGGGUGAAAUCUGUAGAGAUCUGGAAGAACACCGGUAGCGAAGGCGGGUUCCUAUGGAUGGACUGACGCUGAGGCGCGAAAGCGUGGGGAGCGAACAGGAUUAGAUACCCCANUANUC
rnacentral:rRNA from 1 species